UCCUCCCUCUGGCGGCGUGCUUAACACAUGCAAGUCGAACGGAAAGGCCCUGCUUUUGUGGGGUGCUCGAGUGGCGAACGGGUGAGUAACACGUGAGUAACCUGCCCUUGACUUUGGGAUAACUUCAGGAAACUGGGGCUAAUACCGGAUAGGAGCUCCUGCUGCAUGGUGGGGGUUGGAAAGUUUCGGCGGUUGGGGAUGGACUCGCGGCUUAUCAGCUUGUUGGUGGGGUAGUGGCUUACCAAGGCUUUGACGGGUAGCCGGCCUGAGAGGGUGACCGGCCACAUUGGGACUGAGAUACGGCCCAGACUCCUACGGGAGGCAGCAGUGGGGAAUAUUGAACAAUGGGCAGAAGCCUGAUGCAGCAACGCCGCGUGCGGGAUGACGGCCUUCGGGUUGUAAACCGCUUUCGCCUGUGACGAAGCGUGAGUGACGGUAAUGGGUAAAGAAGCACCGGCUAACUACGUG
rnacentral:rRNA from 1 species